GUGGGGAAUAUUGGACAAUGGGCGGAAGCCUGAUCCAGCAAUGCCGCGUGUGUGAAGAAGGCCUGCGGGUUGUAAAGCACUUUAAGCAGGAAAGAAGGGCGGGGCGAUAAUACCGUUUCGCAUUGACGUUACCUGCAGAAUAAGCACCGGCUAACUCCGUGCCAGCAGCCGCGGUAAUACGGAGGGUGCGAGCGUUAAUCGGAAUUACUGGGCGUAAAGCGCGCGUAGGCGGUUCGAUCAGUCCGUCGUGAAAGCCCCGGGCUUAACCUGGGAAUGGCGGUGGAUACUGUCGAGCUAGAGUGUGGUAGAGGGGAGUGGAAUUUCCGGUGUAGCAGUGAAAUGCGUAGAGAUCGGAAGGAACACCAGUGGCGAAGGCGGCUCCCUGGACCAACACUGACGCUGAGGUGCGAAAGCGUGGGGAGCAAACAGGAUUAGAAACCCGAGUAGUCC
rnacentral:rRNA from 1 species